CACUGCACAACACUGUGCAACCAACGGGUAGGCCAGUCCUGCCUUCAGGAACCCAGCUCCAGGCCCCCUUUGGCUGUAGUUAUGCCCUGCAUAACCCACUGCAACCUCAGCACAACGGCGCAUUGUGCAGCAGCCACAUUUCUGUGUCGACUUGAAGCAGAGGAACCAUGUACUGGGCUUUGUUCCACAGAGGGAUCCAGCCAUGAAGUCCAUUAGAGCAUCAGAUGCAGUGAGGUCAAAUCAAUUGUCCAUACUGCAGACAAGGAUGGGCAAUAAUAAUUGACUGAAGCAAUCACUGCUGUGGGAAAACAAACGUCCUGGCAGUGUCGCAGCUGAAGGUCAAGCCUGAUGACAUAGUAAGCACCUGAACUCUCACUGACUCCUGGGGAGGCAGCGGGUGCCCAGCACCUUCUGGAGCUCUCCUGGCGGGGACAGAUUUACACAGCCACUGGGGCCUGAGAUGCAAACUUGGGCUCUGGAAUGCCGAGUCAUUUUUUUAAGAUCAAUACAACAAACCUGAAUUGUGCAAUGGAUGUGUGGUUACUAUCUGCUCUGUUAGCAUUACAACUCAGAUCAGACUUUUGAAAAAUAUUUGUCUCUCCUUUAGCUUUUCUUCCUGAACCUUUGCUGCAAUUAUCUUCAAGUCUCCAUAAAAGAAGCCAAAGAAAUGGGAACUCAGUUCAGUUACAGAGAUUUAAUAUUCCUGUUGAAGAAGAGAGAGAGUCAGAUGCCCUGCAGAACUGUAAGUGUUACUGAGCCAUUUCCAAUCUCCAGGGAACAGCAACAAAGAACACAUUAGACAUGUCCUGGGAAGGCUGAGUGCCCUGUCAGCUGAAUCAUCACACCAGAAUUAUAAUAUUUUAAGAGCUAUACUAUGCAGAAUUAUUUUGCAUUAAAAGAUAUGCUUAAUACCUAG